AUUGAACGCUAGCGGGAUGCCUUACACAUGCAAGUCGAACGGCAGCGCGGACUUCGGUCUGGCGGCGAGUGGCGAACGGGUGAGUAAUGUAUCGGAACGUGCCCAGUAGCGGGGGAUAACUACUCGAAAGGGUAGCUAAUACCGCAUACGCCCUACGGGGGAAAGGGGGGGAUCGCAAGACCUCUCACUAUUGGAGCGGCCGAUAUCGGAUUAGCUAGUUGGUGAGGUAAAGGCUCACCAAGGCGACGAUCCGUAGCUGGUUUGAGAGGACGACCAGCCACACUGGGACUGAGACACGGCCCAGACUCCUACGGGAGGUAGCAGUGGGGAAUUUUGGACAAUGGGGGCAACCCUGAUCCAGCCAUUCCGCGUGUGCGAUGAAGGCCUUCGGGUUGUAAAGCACUUUUGGCAGGAAAGAAAUCGCACGGAUUAGUACUCUGUGUGGAUGACGGUACCUGCAGAAUAAGCACCGGCUAACUACGUGCCAGCCGCCGCCGUAA
rnacentral:rRNA from 1 species